rnacentral:rRNA from 1 species
UACAGAGGGUGCGAGCGUUGUCCGGAAUCACUGGGCGUAAAGGGCGCGUAGGUGGCGACCCAAGUCGAUGGUGAAAGCUCGCCGCUCAACGGCGAGUCGGCCACCGAUACUGGGUUGCUGGAGCACUGUAGAGGCUCAUGGAAUUCCGGGUGUAGCGGUGGAAUGCGUAGAUAUCGAGAGGAACACCAGUGGCGAAGGCGAGUCC